rnacentral:rRNA from 1 species
UACAGAGGUCCCAAGCGUUGUUCGGAUUCACUGGGCGUAAAGGGUGCGUAGGUGGUUAGGUAAGUCCGAUGUGAAAUCUCCAGGCUCAACCUGGAAAUGGCAUUGGAUACUAUCUAGCUUGAGGAGUGGAGGGGGGACUGGAAUUCUCGGUGUAGCAGUGAAAUGCGUAGAUAUCGAGAGGAACACCAGAGGCGAAGGCGAGUCCCUGGACACUUCCUGACACUGAGGCACGAAAGCUAGGGGAGUGAAUAGG